rnacentral:rRNA from 1 species
GGACCUGACUGCUAUCGGAUUGAUACUAAGCCAUGCGAGUCAUUGUAGCAAUACAAGGCAUACGGCUCAGUAACGCGUAGUCAACCUAACCUAUGGACGGGAAUAACCUCGGGAAACUGAGAAUAAUGCCCGAUAGAACAUUAUGCCUGGAAUGGUUUAUGUUCCAAAUGAUUUAUCGCCGUGGGAUGGGACUGCGGCCUAUCAGUUUGUUGGUGAGGUAAUGGCCCACCAAGACUAUUACAGGUACGGGCUCUGAGAGGAGUAGCCCGGAGAUGGGUACUGAGACACGGACCCAGGCCCUAUGGGGCGCAGCAGGCGGGAAAACUUUGCAAUGUGCGAAAGCACGACAAGGUUAAUCCGAGUGGUUUCUGCUAAAGAAACCUUUUGUCAGUCCUAGAAACACUGAUGAAUAAGGGGUGGGCAAGUUCUGGUGUCAAAG